rnacentral:rRNA from 1 species
UAACGCGUGAGGAACCUGCCUUUCAGAGGGGGACAACAGUUGGAAACGACUGCUAAUACCGCAUGACGCAUUUUGAUCGCAUGGUCGAAAUGCCAAAGAUUUAUCGCUGAAAGAUGGCCUCGCGUCUGAUUAGCUAGUUGGUGAGGUAACGGCCCACCAAGGCGACGAUCGGUAGCCGGACUGAGAGGUUGAACGGCCACAUUGGGACUGAGACACGGCCCAG